rnacentral:lncRNA from 1 species
AUGCCCGGAAUCUUUCCGCCGUUGUCAAGGCGACACAGAUGGACGCCCUCCAGUGCUCCUGAGUGGGGAGGCCAUGGACUUCACCAUGAUUUUCACAAUGGAACUUCUGGAUCUGCAGCUGUGGAAGAGGCCCCCAUCUUUGUCCAUAUUGGUGCCAAGGAAAUCACUGUACCCUGCCAGGCUGCGAGGACAGAUUUUGCAACUGGUGUGAAUCUAACCUAUACCUGGAACCUGGAAAAUGGAGAAACACAUUCCAUCCAUGGUGAUGCUUCCUUGACUCUACGUAAUUUCCAUGCUGAGGACAGUGGACUAUAUGGUUGCCGCAUCUCCUAUGUGAAGGAAGACCAACUUCAUUCCAUGAUUUUCUAUCAUCCAGUGGUAGGCUACCAUAUACGUGCAGGUUUGCAGGUUCUACUGGUUUUUCAAAGCAGCUCAUGUGAUAAGGCAUUAACAGAUGGGGUCCUGAAGACCCUGAAGGAGCACCUGAGUCGCAUUGUGUCCCACUUUCAUUGUGAGCUCCUACUGGGGACUAGGAGCUGCUUCUCCACCGUGGAAAAACCUUUGGAUGAAUUUGAUCUCCAGGUGGAACUAGAAGUAUCUCCCUUUGGGAAAGGCUGGGAUGAAUCUUGCUACUCUAGGACUGAUACGAUGGCUUUAGAGUGUUUUCAUUCAGUUGUUCACAGCAAUCUGCAACAGGCUAAGGAAGCAAUUACCAGAUACAUGAAGGAGAACAAACGCUUUCUUUCAAAAAAACCUGGUGCCUCCUUUGUCAACACUUUUUCCAACUUCCUGGAGAGUGGGGAAUGCCAGGAGGGUUUUGGACAGACACAGGAGCUACAGGCACGCUGUCCUGACUGCUGUAGUGAGUGGAGCAGUUGGAACCUACAGUCAGCGCUAUGGAGCAACUGUGUGCACACUGUGCAAGCACAGCUGGCUUACUUCACAUCCUGGUGCCAGUGUACCUGGAGACUGCAUGAAAACAGAAGUCCCUCUGGCUCGUCAUUUUUCUGGGCUGAUAAUGGCUUUUACCUUCCCACCACUUGGCUGUCUAUGUCUCAUUGUGCUCAUCUGCUGUUACUUCCGACAUCAUGAGCAGGAAUACCAUUCUCCAACUACAAAAGUUGGCCAGAGCAAGCAGCAAAAAGAAGUGACAGCUCCUACGGUAGUUUUAGACUCCCACGAACGUGGCCAUCCUUUACCACUUCCUCCUGAAACCAAAGGGCCCGUGUCUUCACCUCCUUCCAAUCCAGAGGAGAAGCCAGGUGAGGCUGUAUCUCCAUCACAUUCCAGCGCAGACGAACAGCAUGUUUUUUUAGACGUUGUGUUCCCACCAUCUUCUCCUGUUUCAGAUGCAGAAAGUACAUGGGUCCCAUAAACGAAUAAUCAGCAACUGGCUCUGUCUCGUGUGUUCUUACAAGUUGCUAACAAUCUAGGAUUCUAAAAUUCUCAGCUCUGGCCCUACAAGACUGUUUCUCCCAAUAUUUUAUAUUCAAGUUUAUUUCCACACUGUUCCAAGGUACCACAUGCUGUCUUACAGGGUUAUUAUGCUUGUGAUUUUGGAAAAACAAACAAACCCCAAACAGUGCUGCAUUUUGUAAAAAGUGAAUCAAAGAAAGUCUGCUCAGGAAUCUUUAUUGAGGAGCACAAACAACACACAAAGAAUUCAAGACAACAGUUACCACACAAAUAUCAUAAGUUGCACCAACAUUAACAGUGGAGAAUCAUGCUGAAUAAAACUGCUAGACACAAUAUACA